GACCCGCUUUCCCCGGAGGGAGCCGGGCACCGCGGCCGCGACUCGGUUAUCCUGGGUUCCGGCUGUCCCCCUCUGCUCGGCCCACCGCGGGGGCUCUUCGUAACCGUAGCCGCAGGCUUUGCCCCCCUCCCCCGGUUUCUCUUCGCCGCGCUCCUCGUCUCAAGUUCCGGUCUUAGUGACAGGUUGGACGGCGCCACCAGCCCGGGCCGGUGAUACCGUCUCUUUCCCCUGCCUUUCUGCGGGGGAUCCUUCCAGCCGGCUGUGCUGGAGGAAGAAGGAAGAGUGAGUGUAAAUUAAGAUAUUUUCUUGAUGUGAUGUGUAAUCGCUAAUAACAUUAUAUGUGAAGAGCACAUGACAACAUGGAAGAAUACUUAUAAGUGGAGGCAUCAGCAAAGUAUGACCUGUUCCUGGUUGAGAUUUCUGGGUGGAGGAGCAGGUGGUUGACCAAAAAUAUUGGCAGCCAUAAUUUAGAGGCUGCUGUAAGACAGAAAGUGGAAGAGGGUGAAAGACAAGAGGCAAGGCUUUUGGAUUAAUGGAGUAAGGAGCUCAGCAAGUCUCCCCACCCACC